GGCCUGCCGAACAAUCCGGAUUCCUGCAGUAGUUCGAGAUCAAGCCACUGAAAAUCACAAAACAAUACACGUUACAAGAGGUGGGACAAUAUGCAGGAACAUCCAGCACCCUCUCCAUUUUGCUGUAACAAGGUCAUAACCAGUGCCUUUGAAAUAUUCCCAUUAGAGGUACCAUAUGAUUGCCACAAGCAUGAAUGGCUCUCAAAUUCUCAUCCACUCUGCACAUUUCUAACAGGACUUCAUACAGUACUGCGAAAGGUGGAACUAACAUAGAGUUCCUCAAUGAAAUAAUGGCAUCCAGGAUGAUAUCAAUCCCAGGCCAGCCUUCUAACUCUAUGUACUCAAAAUGUAGUGAAAAGCCUCUAUGUUACCCAUGGAAAACCAUCGUGCAAACAGUAUUGCUGUCUCUCGAUGCUGUAUCAGUCCACAGACAGCAAGGGCAGUACCACUGCAGUGGCAGUGGCAGAUGGGCUUUCAGUCGCCUCUGGGAGCUCCAUCCCACAGAAACACAGAGAGCUGCCAAUGGAAAUGUUCAGCUGAGUAUGAGGUGCCUGUACUGUGUGCCCAAGCCAGGAAACCUGCCUGGUGAAGAGUAACAGGUGGGAGCUCACAGGGAAGAGAGACUGGAAUUCUUUCCAUAUAACCCCUGCUGUGUGCUGGAGGCAUCAGGGAAGUGACCAGGUCACUUUGUUCCUUCUGCAGCCCAAGGGCAGUAAGGGCGGUAUUGCUGCAGCUGAAAUGGCAGAGGGGCUGUGGGUUGCCUCUGGGAUUUCCUCCCCAGAGAAGCACAGUGCCUUCCUGUGCUCCCCUGCCUGAACACACUGACUAAAGUGUUCAGGCAGGGCCAGGGUGGUUGUGCUCUGCCCAUUGAGGAGUAGCCGGGGCAGGCACCAGUGCAGAAAACAGUGUGCCCACUUUUCCGUAAGGCAGCUAUACUGUGCUGGAGGUCCGUGAGAGUCCUGAAGCUCCUCGCUCCCUCCUGAGCCUGCACUUUAAUCUCAAGAGUUUGAGAUACACAGUGGUAAGGAAGAAAGUAACAAUGAGUACAGCUAAUGAAACCCAGGAAGACAAGUCAAUUCUCUUUGAGGGGUGAGGUGGGGGCCACAGGCAGAUGGAGUGGAUUAAAGAAUGACUAGUAGAGUGGCAGCAGAAGACAAGCCUGGCUCUGAAGGCAGCAAGUCCUCCAGGGAAUAUGGGGUCAGGGGAGGUUCUGAAAGAUGACACACUGCAGAGAGCGUGUGUUUGUAUGCUGAUGACAAGUAUCAGUAGAAAGGCAGAUGAACGGAUUCUCAUUCUCAGAAAGACCUGUCCUGACCUCCUGAGAGUACACAGAGCAUGAGGGCAGGACAGGGAGGAGGACGCACUCUCAUUGAUUCAUGCAAAGUCCUCGGCCAAAGUUUACCUGCUCUCCACCUCUGUGACUUUGUCCUUUCUCAAUUUAAGAUGCUCCAAGCUGGAAAAAUGGAUUAUUGACCAGUAGUUGGCUGAUGCAAUUCUAAAGCUAAUACACCAAAAAGCACUUGAGAGAUGUAUCAGAAGAUCAUAGAGAAAUAGAUACUUUAAGCUAAUAUCCAUGUCUUCACCCUGCACUGUCUUCUUAUUUGAACUCCCUUUUCCGGGAAGAGUUGUGCUUGGGUAAAUUCUAUAGCUCACAGUGUGACUUCAAAACACAUAAUAAAUUCAUAAACUGUUUCCUACAGUGAGUUAUGUUAAACUUUCUGAAGAGUGUUUUUGAAAUGUAGGAGAGCAGACUACAAUUGAUAUUCAAAAAGAGGAAACUUCCUGGCCGGGCGCGGUGGCUCACGCCUGUAAUCCCAGCACU
rnacentral:lncRNA from 10 species